rnacentral:rRNA from 1 species
AUUGAACGCUGGCGGUAUGCCUUACACAUGCAAGUCGAACGGUAGAGGGGCAACCCUUGAGAGUGGCGAACGGGUGAGUAAUACAUCGGAACGUGCCCAGUCGUGGGGGAUAACGUAGCGAAAGCUACGCUAAUACCGCAUACGACCUGAGGGUGAAAGCGGGGGAUCGCAAGACCUCGCGCGAUUGGAGCGGCCGAUGGCAGAUUAGGUAGUUGGUGGGGUAAAGGCCUACCAAGCCUGCGAUCUGUAGCUGGUCUGAGAGGACGACCAGCCACACUGGGACUGGGACACGGCCCAGACUCCUACGGGAGGCAGCAGUGGGGAAUUUUGGACAAUGGGCGAAAGCCUGACCCAGCCAUACCGCGUGCGGGAAGAAGGCCUUCGGGUUGUAAACCGCUUUUGUCAGGGAAGAAAUCUUCUGGGUUAAUACCUCGGGAGGAUGACGGUACCUGAAGAAUAAGCACCGGCUAACUACGUGCCAGCCGCCGCAGUAAAAC